AUGACAUGUUGAUGACAUCAGACCAGGAGCUACGCAAUCACAAAGGUCACUUCUUCAGUCAAGUGCAGCAGAUGGGAUCUUGAAAGUGCCUACAAGUAGUCUAGAACACCUUGAAUCCGGCUGUGAAAAUGUAGGGUAAAUCUGUAGCUCUCAGUAGGUAAACACCUUAUUUAGGUCUGGAGGCAUUUUGCUAUGUUAUUGAGUCAUGGAAACCUAUUAAAAGAGCUCUAUGGGAAAUCCAGUCUAUAUUUUGAACAAAACAAGCUGUCUUUUUCAUUGUCACUGACCCUUUACAGACACACAGUACAUAAUCUUGAUUGUGCUUCAUUGGUAUUUAUUGCACAUGGACCAAUUCCUCACACAGUAGUUAGUUGCACC
rnacentral:lncRNA from 1 species